AGCCGCGCGUAAAUGGCACCCCGAGAAAGGUAUUUAGUCCUAAACAGAAAAAAGAUACUGAUACUGUUCAACAAGAAACGACUUCUCUUGACAUUGACGAUGGCCCUUUUACGCACCGGGGUACGAAACCCCUUAGAGAUUUGAAUUCUCCGAGAUUAGAGAGAACAAAGACCAUUCAGCGGAUUGAAAACGAACGGCAAGAUUUAGAAAAGAUUCCCACACCCCGGCCUGUUGAAUCCGAUGAAAAAUUCGGAGACGCCCGUUGCAAAGAAGUUAAGAAAACACAAAAUAAAAGAAAAUCAUUACCGACGUCAUCACCGCCGCCGCACGUAAAUGGCACCUCGAGAAGGCAGGCACCGUGUCCACGUACGUGUUGCCCCAUUCUGACUAUUAACUUGAACGAGAAAUUGAA